GGAGUGUUCUGCAGAUGUCCCAGAAGGCGCAUGAAAGUCCUUCUGACCCAUAUUGUCUUCAAAACAGUCGUAGGAAGGAUGGAGAAGCCUGGCCUGGCACUGGCUCUCAGGAAAGUCAUUGAUGGAAUUCGUGUGUCUGUGUGGGGCUCACUGUGAGUGGGGGGUGACUUCCUUUGAGUAGGAUGGACAUUUCUCCCUGCUCUAAAAGGAGAGUCAGUUCCUCGUUCUCUAAUAUACAGUUACCUGACUGACAUCGACCGCAUCGCCACACCAUCAUUCGUGCCUACCCAACAAGAUGUGCUUCGCGUCCGAGUGCCCACCACCGGCAUCAUUGAGUAUCCAUUUGACUUGGAAAACAUCAUCUUUCGGAUGGUGGAUGUUGGUGGCCAACGAUCGGAAAGACGGAAAUGGAUUCACUGCUUUGAGAGUGUCACCUCCAUUAUUUUCUUGGUUGCUCUGAGUGAAUAUGACCAGGUCCUGGCUGAGUGUGACAACGAGAAUCGCAUGGAAGAGAGCAAAGCCUUAUUUAAAACCAUCAUCACCUACCCCUGGUUUCUGAAUUCGUCUGUGAUUUUAUUCUUGAACAAGAAGGAUCUUUUGGAAGAGAAAAUCAUGUACUCUCAUCUAAUUAGCUAUUUCCCAGAAUACACAGGACCGAAGCAGGAUGUCAAAGCUGCCAGAGACUUUAUCCUGA
rnacentral:sRNA from 1 species